rnacentral:lncRNA from 1 species
AAAUUUUGGUACGAGGCUAAGGUCAUUCUGAACUUCAUUCUGGGCAACAGACUUCCCAGAUUUUUAAGAUCCCUUGCCUAUUCUUGCGGGCAUAAGCACAUACUGACCAAUACAUUAACCCUUUUUUUUUCAUUUUCUUUUUUUUUCUUUCUCUUUCUAUUCUGGACUUUUCUUUACUUUGGGAUUAGAUGUCCCAUUUUGCAAUUUUUGCACUAGUCCUGCCCAUAGCAUCCACUACACUAUCUUCCCUUCUUUUGCCCUUAAGUUCAGUUUGACCAGGACGGCUCAAAUUUGGGCAAAUUUUAUCAGUGAAUUCAAAUGAAUUAUUAAGCUCAAAAGGGUUCACAAGUGAUAGAUGUAGGGUUGGUCAGUUUGGCUUUGUGGGCUAAAGAAAGAAUUGCCUAAAUCAUUUAACACACCUAGACUAUGUACACAGGGUUCGACUAAGAAUCAAGGCAAGUUCUAGCAUUACCCUAGUCAAGAUGUCAAUUUUCACACAAGAAAGAAAAAGCU